rnacentral:rRNA from 1 species
GAUGAACGCUGGCGGUAUGCUUAACACAUGCAAGUCGAACGGACUCUUCGGAGUUAGUGGCGGACGGGUGAGUAACGCGUGAGAAUCUGGCUUUGGGUUCGGGACAACCACUGGAAACGGUGGCUAAUACCGGAUGUGCCGAGAGGUAAAAGAGAAAUUGCCUGAAGAUGAGCUCGCGUCUGAUUAGCCAGUUGGUGAGGUAAAGGCUCACCAAGGCAGCGAUCAGUAGCUGGUCUGAGAGGAUGACCAGCCACACUGGGACUGAGACACGGCCCAGACUCCUACGGGAGGCAGCAGUGGGGAAUUUUCCGCAAUGGGCGAAAGCCUGACGGAGCAAUACCGCGUGAGGGAAGAAGGCUCUUGGGUUGUAAACCUCUUUUCUUAGGGAAGAACAAAAUGACGGUACCUAAGGAAUCAGCAUCGGCUAACUCCGUG